rnacentral:rRNA from 1 species
AUAAUUUUAUCUUACUUAUUUUAAAUUUAUUUUAUGAGAAAUAUCUUUUUAUCUAGUAUAUUAAAGAAAAAUAUUUAUGUAGUUAUAGUGAAUUAGUACUGUGAAGGAAUUGAUGAAAUAUGUUGAAAUUAUUAUUUUUAAUAAGUAUACUUAACUUGUAGUACCUUUUGUAUCAGGGUUAAUUUAUUAAUCUAAAAUAUUUUUAUAUCUCGAUUUCAGAAGAGUUAACCUAGUAUUUUAGUUAAUGUUUCAUAAUUAUUAUAAAUAUAGGUUGGAGGAGAAAUUCUAUUCGGUUCUGAGGGUAUCUAGUUUUUUAAGAAUUAAAUUUAAUUUAUCCUUAUCAUUUAAUUUAUACAUUUUUUAGAUUUUAUUUGAUAAGAGUAAAAUUGUAGGGGAUAAGCUCUAUAUUUUUCUACAAAUCUUACAACUAAUAAAUUUUUGUAGGGUUAUAAUUGCCCAUCAUUAGAAAGUGUGUUAUAAUUUAUUUUUAAUAUUACUUGAUUUUUAUUUUUUUUAGUAAAUUAUUAAAAUAACAAAACAAAUGUUUUAUUUUGAGUAAUAAUGAUUAAAUUAGUAUAAUAAAAUGUUUAUCAACAUUAAAAAAUAAUGAUAAAAUAAGGAACUCGGCAAAUGCAAUUCCCGCCUGUUUAACAAAAACAUGUCCUUUUGAAUUUAAUUUAAGGUCUGGCCUGCCCAGUGAUUUAUUUAACGGCCGCGGUAUACUGACCGUGCAAAGGUAGCAUAAUCAUUAGUCUUUUAAUAGAGGGCUGGAAUGAAAGGUUUAACGAGGAAUUAGCUGUCUCAUUUUAUUUGUUUUAAAAUUUAAUUUUUUAGUUAAAAAGCUAAAAUAAUAUUGGUAGACGAGAAGACCCUAUAGAUCUUUAUACCUAUUCAUUUAAUUAUUUUUAUAUUAAUAUUUUUAUUUGAUAUUGUAUUUUGUUGGGGUGACAAAAAUAUAAAAAUAACUUUUUUAUUUAUACAACAUUGAUAUAUGAUUAUUCGAUCCAUUCUUAUUGAUUAUUAGAUUAAGUUACCUUAGGGAUAACAGCGUAAUCCUCUUCCAGAGUUCAUAUUUACAAGGGGGCUUGCGACCUCGAUGUUGGAUUAAGAUAAUAGUUAGGUGUAGCCGCUUAAUAUAUAGGUCUGUUCGACCUUUAACCCCUA